AAUGUAAAGUAAAUGUACUCUGUUUUGUCGCAGGAUUACUCACUGGAGCCCGUGUUUUUCUUUAGGACAGGGUGUAGGAUAGCGCAGCCGGUUGUUUGAGACUGCUGCGAGGGAACGUCUGCGCUGCACGACGCCGGGAAAAACGCACCCGCUCGCCUGAGAGACUUCCUUUCACCUUCGUCUAGCGCUCUCCUUUAGCCAAGAGGCGGGAGGAGUCUGGGAAAAUACGUGGCACUCUCUUGGAAAGAUGCCUGCUCUAAAAAUAUAGGAUAUGGCUCCAGAUCUCUGUUCUGAGAACAGCUGGUCACGUUCAAAAUGAAUGCCUAAAGAAAAUAGCAAAUUUGAGAAGAAAUGCGAAUUCCUGAAUUUUGGCAAGGAAAGGCCGGCCGGAGAGAAGUCAACUGCAGGAGGUCUAUUCUCCGUCCAGCUGUCUCGGCUUGCUGAUUUAGUGCCGGCUUCCGAACGUGCACCUCUGAUGUCCGCAGAGCAGCAGGGCCGCAGGCAGCUCUCGUGGGGCCUGCAGCAUUUCCUUAGCUCUGCUACAAACCCGCACGGAGGCCGCACAGCUCCCACAAGGGUCCGGCCGCAGAGGAGAAAAGGAAUGGGGGAGUUUUAAGCCCGAUGAGGGAAGGGCGAAGGUGUUUUGCUGCAG